rnacentral:tRNA from 1 species
GGGAGUGUAGCUCAGUGGUACAGCACUUGCCUAGCAUGCAAAAAGCCCUGGUUUGAUCCCCAGCACCAUUA